AAUGACAGUGGAGUAAAGAGUUACAUUGUAUGUUCCGUUAUAUUAUGGAAGAUUUCGAAGUUUAACAUUUUUUAACACAGCUGUUUUUUGCAUUAACGAGCUCUUUAUAUUUGUUUGUUUUGAUAUUAUGGAAGAUUUAUCUUCUUCUCAAAACGGAGGUAAUAAAACAAAAGAGAAACAGCUGGAUUUUAGUCAAAUCAGUAAUAUUGUGUAAGUGCUCUAACUUUUGGUGUCGAUAACAGUCAAGAAGUAAGCUUUGGAAAAAAUUUUCGUAAA